UACGGAGGGGGCUAGCGUUGUUCGGAAUUACUGGGCGUAAAGCGCUCGCAGGCGGAUUGAUAAGUCGGGGGUGAAAUCCCGGGGCUCAACCUCGGAAUUGCCUUCGAUACUGUCUAUCUAGAGUCCGGGAGAGGUGAGUGGAAUUCCUAGUGUAGAGGUGAAAUUCGUAGAUAUUAGGAAGAACACCAGUGGCGAAGGCGGCUCACUGGCCCGGUACUGACGCUCAUGAGCGAAAGCGUGGGGAGCAAACAGG
rnacentral:rRNA from 1 species